CACACAGUAAACGAUGAAUACUCGCUGUUGGCGAUACACAGUCAGCGGCCAAGCGAAAGCAUUAAGUAUUCCACCUGGGGAGUACGCCGGCAACGGUGAAACUCAAAGGAAUUGACGGGG
rnacentral:rRNA from 1 species